AGAGUUUGAUCCUGGCUCAGGAUGAACGCUGGCGGCGUGCUUAACACAUGCAAGUCGAACGAUUAAAGCCCCUUCGGGGGUGUAUAGAGUGGCGAACGGGUGAGUAACACGUGGGUAACCUGCCCCUCACACUGGGAUAACCCUUGGAAACGAGGGCUAAUACCGGAUACUCCGGGACUGUCGCAUGGCAGACCCGGGAAAGCUCCGACGGUGAGGGAUGGACCCGCGGCCCAUUAGCUAGUUGGUGAGGUAAUGGCCCACCAAGGCAACGAUGGGUAGCCGAGCUGAGAGGCUGAUCGGCCACACUGGGACUGAGACACGGCCCAGACUCCUACGG
rnacentral:rRNA from 1 species